AUACUUACCUGGCAGGGGAGAUACCAUGAUCACGAAUGUGGUUUCCCCCGGUGAGGCUCAUCCAUUGCACUCAGGGUGUGCUAACCCCUGUGAUUUCCCCAAAUGUGGGAAAUUCAACUACACUGCAUAAUUUGUGGUAGUGGGGGACUGCGUUCGCACUUUCCCCUG